rnacentral:rRNA from 1 species
AGCAGCCGCGGUAAUUCCAGCUCCAAUAGCGUAUAUUAAAGUUGUUGCAGUUAAAAAGCUCGUAGUUGAAUUUCGGGGUUAGUAGGUUGGUCGUGCCACUGGUACGUACUGGCCUCACUGAUUCCUCCUUCCUGAUGAACUGUAAUGCCAUUAAUUUGGUGUUGCAGGGAAACUGGACUGUUACUUUGAAAAAAUUUAGAGUGUUUAAAGCAAGCUAACGCUUGAAUACAUUAGCAUGGAAUAAUGAAAUAGGACGUUCGAUCCUAUUUUGUUGGUUUCUAGGAUUGACGUAAUGAUUAAUAGGGAUAGUUGGGGGCAUUAGUAUUCAAUUGUCAGAGGUGAAAUUCUUGGAUUUAUUGAAGACUAACUACUGCGAAAGCAUUUGCCAAGGAUGUUUUCAUUAAUUAAGAACGAAAGUUAGGGGAUCGAAGACGAUCAGAUACCGUCGUAGUCUUAACCAUAAACUAUGCCGACUAGGGAUCGGAUGAUGUUAAUUUUUUAAUGACUCAUUCGGCGCCUU